rnacentral:lncRNA from 1 species
CUGCUGAUUUUGUUGCUGGUUCUGAGGGUUGGGUGGAGGUGGCAUUCCAGGACGAGGGGGUCCAAACACAGGAACUUGACCACCAGGUGGAGGAGGCAUCCCAGGACGAUGCGGUGGUGGACCAGGCAUGCCGGGUCGAGGCGGAGGAGGUGGGCCCCUCAUCAUCUGCCCAGGCGGCGGAGGACCCAUCGGCCUCUGCCCAAACUGCAUCUGAGGUGGGCCCUGGAAUUGCAGAGGUGGGCCACCAGGCCUCGGAAACUGUGGAGGCGGCACACCAGGCGGUGGACCCCGCGCCAUCUGCGGUGGGCCCUGACCGGGAUAUCCAGGCAUCUGCCCAGGCGGACGAAUCACCGGAGCAGCCGGGUACGACAUAGGCGGCGCAGAGAGGUUCGGAACAGGAGGGCGUGAAAUCUGCGGCUGCAUCAUGCCGGGGGCGGGCCCACCCACGCCUCGAACCGGGCCGGAGAGACCGGGCUGUGCC